AGUGAACGCUGGCGGCAGGCCUAACACAUGCAAGUCGAGCGGCAGCACGGCAAUAGCAAUAUUGUGGGUGGCGAGCGGCGGACGGGUGAGGAAUGCAUCGGGAUCUACCCUGUCGUGGGGGACAACGUAGGGAAACUUACGCUAAUACCGCAUGAUCUGGAGACAGCAAAGCCGGGGACCUUCGGGCCUGGCGCGAUGGGAUGAGCCGAUGUCCGAUUAGCUAGUUGGCGGGGUAAAGGCCCACCAAGGCGACGAUCGGUAGCUGGUCUGAGAGGACGACCAGCCACACUGGAACUGAGACACGGUCCAGACUCCUACGGGAGGCAGCAGUGGGGAAUAUUGGACAAUGGGGGCAACCCUGAUCCAGCCAUGCCGCGUGGGUGAAGAAGGCC
rnacentral:rRNA from 1 species